AUUAUCAUAUAAGGGGAACUUUUAAAGUAGCACCCGUGACGGAGAAAAUGAGAAGCAGUAGGUUAGUGUGGUAUGGGUAUGUAAUGAGGAGGGAUGA